AGUGGUACGAUUUCUCGCCCGUGGCUUUAU
rnacentral:piRNA from 1 species